rnacentral:sRNA from 1 species
AAUAAUAUAUAAAAAAAGUUUCAUCCUUAAAGGCAAUGAUCAGUUUAACAAGGGUGGUCAUGGAGGAAGGUGAGUUCAUCUUUAGGAUAUUUUUUUUCUUAAAUUGUUAGGAUUUGUUUUCAAUUAAAGUUUUUUCUGCUUUAUAUAAUUAUAUACUCGAUCAUCAUGGUCUAUGCAGGGGAGGAAGAAGAGUGGAAUAUUCUGGCGGAAGAGAGGGUCAGAUUGCCGGAUAGUCGCUGGAACAAAGCUCAGAAAGUAGAAGCAUGAAAGCUUUCUUUCGACUUUGUCUCUCUUUACUAAUUGUAUUCGAGUUGUACUUAUAUUAACUUUAUACUUAAUUCUCUAAAUAUUUAGUAAUCCAAUCAAUAUAUAUAUAUAUAUAUAUAUAUAUAUUA